rnacentral:rRNA from 1 species
GUCUACGGCCAUACCACCCUGAACGCGCCCGAUCUGGUCUGAUCUCGGAAGCUAAGCAGGGUCGGGCCUGGUUAGUACUUGGAUGGGAAAAUAAAAAAAACAACUACGUGCACU